GCGAGUUGCAAAACUCCCACACCCUUGCGAACCCUACCCAUGGUUGCCUCGCCGCGGGCCUCGCGCUCGCGGCGGCGGCCCUUUAAACUCUCUGCAUCUACAGGCCUCUCUGAGUACAGUUACAACAAGUCA
rnacentral:misc_RNA from 1 species